UACGUAGGGGGGCAAGCGUUGUCCGGAUUUAUUGGGCGUAAAGAGCGUGUAGGCGGCUUUACAGGUCCGUUGUGAAAACUCGAGGCUCAACCUCGAGACGCCGGUGGAAACCGUAAGGCUAGAGUCCGGAAGAGGAGAGUGGAAUUCCUGGUGUAGCGGUGAAAUGCGCAGAUAUCAGGAGGAACACCGGUGGCGAAGGCGGGUCUCUGGGCAGUAACUGACGCUGAGAAGCGAAAGCGUGGGGAGCGAACAGG
rnacentral:rRNA from 1 species